rnacentral:rRNA from 1 species
UACGGGGGAGCAAGCGUUGUUCGGAUUUACUGGGCGUAAAGGGCGCGUAGGCGGCGUGACAAGUCACUUGUGAAAUCUCCGGGCUUAACUCGGAGCGGCCAAGUGAUACUGUCGUGCUAGAGUGCGGAAGGGGCUACUGGAAUUCUCGGUGUAGCGGUGAAAUGCGUAGAUAUCGAGAGGAACACCUGCGGCGAAGGCGGGUAGCUGGGCCGACACUGACGCUGGAGGCGACGAAAGCUAGGGGAGCGAACGGG